UGGAUUCUGCACCAUCAUAGUUGGCUUCUU
rnacentral:piRNA from 1 species